UACAGAGGUCUCAAGCGUUGUUCGGAUUCAUUGGGCGUAAAGGGUGCGUAGGCGGCGCGGUAAGUCGGGUGUGAAAUCUCGGAGCUUAACUCCGAAACUGCAUUCGAUACUGCCGGGCUUGAGGACUGGAGAGGAGACUGGAAUUUACGGUGUAGCGGUGAAAUGCGUAGAUAUCGUAAGGAAGACCAGUGGCGAAGGCGGCUAUCUGGACAGUUCCUGACGCUGAGGCACGAAAGCCAGGGGAGCAAACAGG
rnacentral:rRNA from 1 species